AAUCUUUCUCUAGUUUAUCCUCUGUAGUUAGAGUUCUAGCGUUCUUGUGCUCUCCGCCUAAUGGGGAAUUUCCACCACAUCGAAUUAGUUCUUGUCAGUGAUUUCUCUUUAUCGCGAGAUCCUGAUACAGCACUAGAGGGAGCCCUCCACGGCCAGCGCCGGCGCGUGCUCGCCGUCGAGGCGCCCGUCCCGGAGGCAACUCACGGCCGCCUCCGCCAUCUCCGCUCCUCGCCGCCGCCCCUAGCGCUUAAACCCUAGUUCGCGCGAGAGCCCGAGACGAUUCGCGGAGCUCCCGGAAGCCAGGAGUAGCUCGGGGCCCAGGCUGUCAGAGAGACUCGAGCUCCCCUUACCCCACCCGUGUCGGAUGUAGUCAAGGCAAACUCUUUCGACUCCUCCGAAGCUCUGGUCACCUCCGGCUGGGCUGCUCGUUCGCUUCUGGGUUUCUCUCGCGGCGGCGGACGGGGGAGGAAGAGGAGAGGGGUGAUGAAGGCGUGCGCCAAGGCGGCGGGGGAGAGGCUCCCCCUGGUUCGUCCUCCCACAGGGCAGCCGCUGGCUCGGAGUUUCAUUAAGGUAAGCAGAUUAUCUUCUCAACAUGAGACAAGGUCUGUAGUGUCCUGCUCAGUUAGGGUGUCAGAAAACAUGGCACACAAAAUAGAAGCCAGGGCAGAAAAUAUUUUCCCAGCAACAAAAGAUCAUGUCAUGAAAGCAACCGAUGCAAUCAACAGAGGGCAAGUGAUUGCAGUGCCCACUGAUACAAUAUACGGAUUUGCUUGUGAUGCUUGCUCUGCGGGAGCAGUUAAUCGCAUAUAUGAGAUCAAAGGGCGCAUACAAACACGCCCUCUAGCAAUCUGUGUUGCUGAUGUCUCAGACAUAUCACGGUUUGCUUUAGUGGAUCACUUACCACAUGGCUUGCUUGAUAGUCUACUUCCUGGGCCUGUCACUGUUGUUCUAAAACGAGGUGAAAACAGCAUAUUAGAGAGAUCACUCAAUCCUGGCUUGGAUAGCAUUGGAGUUCGUGUGCCGGAUUUGGAUUUCAUACGAUCCAUUGCCCAUGGUGCUGGGAGUGCACUUGCACUUACUAGUGCCAACUUAAGCGGACGUCCUAGUAGUGUCAGCGUCAAAGAUUUCGAGGAAUUAUGGCCACAUUGUUCAUAUGUCUUUGAUGGUGGAAUACUUCCUUCUGGACGUGCUGGUUCAACAAUUGUUGACCUGAUAACACGAGGAGUCUACAAGAUAUUGAGAGGUGGAAGUUCAAGGGAGGAAACAACAGCAGUGCUUAGCAAUUUCGGCUUUGUCGAAGCUUCAUGACAACAUGGUGCUUGACAAAGUUGGUAGGAUCAAAGAGUUUCUUCUCAUCCAUCCUUUUUUUGUUCAAUUAGGUGAUGUAUCAGAGUACAGGUUGCUGUUUGUGCUUUUCUUUUUCCUCUUUGAACUUAUUGUUUUGAUGUAACUUUGAGUAGUAGAGUACUAACAUUGUUUAAGAUGGGAAAGUAUUUUGCCUCUCAUUUCAUUUCAGCAAAGGAACUUCACGUGACAACAAUAAGCAUCAAAGUUGCCGCAGCUAAUUUUGACCUGAAGCUAAUAAAGCGUGGAGUAUUUCACUUUGGAAUCUUCGAGAGCAGAAUAAAAAGGUAAUUUAAUUGGUAUAUAAUGAUGUGAUCUCCAAAGCCCUGGCUGAAAUAGCAAUUGACGAUUCAGCUGCCGCUGGUCUAGACCUGGAUGUCAACGAAGUAUUCACUCUCUGCGCCCAGCUCGACCUUGACGCUCCGGGAGACGGAGCUGUUGAGCUCCGGGUGGCUGACGGUGACCUUGUACUCGCCGUGCGCGAGCUCGGCCUGGAAGUAGCCCUGCGCGUCGGUGGCUGCGGCCCGCAGCGUCGCCCGCCACUCAAGCGAUGAACCGGUCCACGACAUCCCCCUGCGGC